rnacentral:rRNA from 1 species
UACGUAGGGUGCGAGCGUUGUCCGGAAUUAUUGGGCGUAAAGGGCUCGUAGGCGGUUUGUCGCGUCGGGAGUGAAAACCCAGGGCUUAACUCUGGGCUUGCUUUCGAUACGGGCAGACUAGAGGCAUGCAGGGGAGAACGGAAUUCCUGGUGUAGCGGUGAAAUGCGCAGAUAUCAGGAGGAACACCGGUGGCGAAGGCGGUUCUCUGGGCCUUACCUGACGCUGAGGAGCGAAAGCGUGGGGAGCAAACAGG